AUUGAACGCUGGCGGCAUGCUUUACACAUGCCAGUCGAACGGCAACGAGGAGAAGCUUGCUUCUCUGUCGGCGAGUGGCGAACGGGUGAGUAUAGCAUCGGAACGUGCCAAGUAGUGGGGGAUAACCAAACGAAAGUUUGACUAAUACCGCGUAAGCGCCAAGGGGGAAAGUAGGGGACCUAAAUAAGGCCUUACGCUAUUUAAUCGGCCGAUGUCGGAUUAGCUAGUUGGUGGGGUAAUGGCUCACCAAGGCAAUGAUCCGUAGCGGGUCUGAGAGGACGAUCCGCCACACUGGGACUGAGACACGGCCCAGACUCCUACGGGAGGCAGCAGUGGGGAAUUUUGGACAAUGGGGGAAAGCCUGAUCCAGCCAUGCCGCGUGUAUGAAGAAGGCCUUAGGGUUGUAAAGUACUUUUGUUAGGGAAGAAAAGCUAGUUUUUAAUAAAAAGUAGUGAUGACGGUACCUAAAGAAUAAGCACCGGCUAACUACGUG
rnacentral:rRNA from 1 species